GACUGAUGUUCUUGCUAAACAAACAUGUAUCUAUCCUAGUUGCCAGACUAAACCGAAAUUUUAUACACUGUUUGGUCGCAGUUAUUAAAAUGUUUUUAUAAAGAAGAUUCCCGGCAAUUGUCUCUCAAAGCAUUUUAAGGACACCUGUGUUUUCUACAAUUUUGUGUAUGUUAUUAAUAGCAGUUCUAUUGUAUCAUAUUAACAUAAAUACAUAUUCAUCGCUUGAAUUCUACUUCUAUUUCAAAAUCUCUUCUUGCUACAAACAUAACAAUUGAUUAAACUUUAAAGAGCAAUUAAUUGUGUUUCUCAAUGUUGUCAUUUGUUUGCUUUUUUUUAUGUAUAACGUCGAUAUAGUAGAUGUUACUGAACAAUUCUGCCCCCCCCCUCCGCAUACGGGGUUAUUUUUGUAUGCUCAAAUCCUGCCAUAAUCAUCCAUAAUUAAUUGUUUUUCGACACUUUCGGCGACCUCUUCGAUUAUCCAUAUCAUUGUACAUGCCAGUGAUAGUGGUGCCUCCUGAGGAGAAAAACUGAAGCUCCGUACAGUGGUAAGACGCUGAAACUGUUAGCCAAAAUCAACGGUCGGUAAAUUAUCGAGUAGUUUGAGUGUUUUUCCGUUAUACCAAUUGUUGCUGUAAAAACAUCUGAAUGGAGUUUCAAAAUAUCACCGCUAUGUAUAUUUUAGUCGAAAUGAUAAUAAAGAAGAAAAAAUAGAUGAAUGACAAGAAAAGAAACAAGAACUUCGAUGAACAAUGCGUAGAUGAAAAUCAAUAACAGUCCAAGUCAUUUCAGUUGUCUCACUAUAAAUAAAUAUCAAGAUAUAGAGAUCUGACGAGUACUUUCAUUGAUGCAUUAACAAAUAUACAAUGAUAGAAAGAUGCAUUAGAAACAAGUAUGAAUACCCGAGCAAACGAAAUCUUUUAUCGGGUGAAGAGAACCAGUACUGCGCGGGAAAAACUUCAUGGGAAUGUUUAUUAUGAGUUACAACUAAAAAAAAAAAGAGGUAAAUGUGAACAUGUUUCACUGAUAAUACGGAUUGUAAUAACAGUGCUAAUAGACUGAAUGAAUAGGAUUUCUUUCACUUUUCUCACUGGUCAACUGUUUUUUUUUGGCGAAAACUAUGAUAAAAACAACCACCCACACAGAAAAUCAUAAACCACUAAAUAUGUAUGUAUGUAUGUACGUACGUAUAUACAUACAUACGAUAUGUAAUGCACAACAUCUGCAUGAACGACGUAACCGUAACGGGUAACGAGUGUACUUGAACUUGGAUGUAUUGUACUGGGGACCAGGGGUCCCAGUUUUCACCCCAAAAUGGUGGACGGGUCCCUGGGUGGGGAUACGACGCGACAUAACAUUGUUACACGAUGCGAAAAUCGUGCGACGAAAGCGACAGCUGUCGUGUGCGUCGUGUCGUACCAUGCCUCGUAAUAGGUCCAUGGCUAAUGACUAAUAUAAUUAAUGUUAUACGAUUUACGUGCACCAUUCACUAUUAAAGGGCUGCAAGCUCCAUUAUUUUCCUGACAAAUUUCUCUUGUAAAUGAAAUCAGUAAAAUAAAAAGUUUUCAUUACGCUACUCAAA